rnacentral:rRNA from 1 species
UACGUAGGGGGCAAGCGUUGUCCGGAUUUAUUGGGCGUAAAGAGCGUGUAGGCGGCUAGAUAGUCCGUUGUGAAAACUCGAGGCUCAACCUCGAGACGUCGAUGGAAACCAUCUGGCUAGAGUCCGGAAGAGGAGAGUGGAAUUCCUGGUGUAGCGGUGAAAUGCGCAGAUAUCAGGAAGAACACCCCGUGGCGAAGGCGGCUCUCUGGUACGUGACUGACGCUAGACGCGAAAGCGUGGGGAGCAAACAGG